UGCAGGUUUCCCCUCUUUUCUCAUUCCCUGAAGUUGCAGCCUCAGUUGUUUUCACUCUUGUCGCUUGUGCUUCUUCGCUUUUCCUACCAUCGUUGUGUAGAAGGGCUUUGGAGACAGUCAUCCCGUUCCAGCCUCAGGUCGGCGACUAACUGGUAUUUGACUGCUUCUCUGAACCUCAAGUUGCUUGUCUGGAAAAUGGGAAUGCAAAUGCUUACCUCGGAAGGUCGUUUUAAGCUUUAAAGAAGUAAAUCGCUUAGCACAGUGUUUGACAGCUUGCUGGUAGCUAAUCACUUGUUGCCAUUACUGUCAUAAUUUGAUCUUGCCCUUAACAGUAUUCGUGGUAGAGGUUAUGCCAAAGGCUCUGGCAGCUGAAGCUGAGAGACCUGAAGAAAGCACAGUUUUGAUUCCGGAUAAAACUGCAUUAUUGUAGUCCACUUUUCCCUUCUGGAAUUUGUGUAAAUAUUUAACCUAUUUUAAGUCUCACCUCUUGAGAAAGCCUGAUUUUGAAGAAAAAUCUCUUAGCACUUUGCGAUAGUCUAAUCGUUUAUUCAGUUAUUUACUUCAUCUCUCCUCCCGUAAGAAUUAAACUCCAUAAGGGCAAGAAUUUUGUUUUUUUUCAUUGCUCUAUCCCAGCACUUCUGUCUGGCACAUAGUAGGUGCUCAAUAAAUAUUUUUGAAUGAAUGAAUGAGUUAUACAGAAUGCUAAUGGCCUUGAGAAUAUAUUUAUGAGACUGUUAACAAGAAAUUUCAUUUUCUUUUUUAUUUAUUAUUUGAGAAGAUUAUCAGCUCUUCAUGGUUAUCCUUUCAAAGUCCAACAUUAAAAUUAAUGUAUGUUAAUCUCUUAUGACUUGAUGUCCUUCGAUUCUUUGGUGUUUAUUUGUUGUGUUUCCCUGCAGAUCUAUGACAGCUCAGCACAUAACUUCUGUAUCUCUUGAUAAAUACGAGUCAAAAUCAAUCUUUCUCUAUCCCAAUCUCAUUUCCAGGCUGCAAACUGGUAACUUACACUUUGUCUCACAAAUAUCAAAUGAUAAAUUCACAUUAAAUUUUUUAUUCUAAUCUACUAGCUUAAAAAUCAACCUGUAGGUUAUUAUUCCAAGAAUUCCACUUUUAUAUCAUAACCUCCUAACCAUAUUACCGUGAUGAAUAUCAUUAUAAUUAAUUAGGCAGCAUAGUUAAGCACUUCCACUCUGCCAUAAGACUUCUGAGUUUCAAAUUCAAUCUCUAAAAGAUACCAGCUUGUGACUUUGGACAAGUUACGUAGCUUUUUUGUGCCUCAGUCACCUCAUCUGUAAAUUAGGAUAUUAUAUGUAUCUUAAUGUUUUUUAAGGAUUAAAUGAAGAAUUAUUUAGAUGUUUUAGUAUCUGACAUAGUAAGUACUACAUAAGUAUAAGCAAUUGUUGUUCAUAAAUAGCUAAUACUUUAUUAUAAUAGUUACUACUAUCAACAUAUUUCAAAAUGAAAGUUAAAAACUGGAAAGGUGCCUCUGCAUUCUCAGAAAAUAUAACAUGAUUCUUCCUGUUAUACAGGUUUCUAGGUGUCAAAGACUAAAUGUUACUCUCACUAUGUCUAGAUUUUUCACAGUAAUGUAACAGCUUUAUAUAAACUGUCAAAUUCCUAGAACCAACCCGAAUAACACAAUCAUACCUUUCAAAACCGCUCUAGAACUGAUUUUUGGUGAAAAGAUAAAUCCUUCUCCUAGAAGACAACCUAUCCCAUUGUCAGUCUGCUUACUUAAAACAAAGCUUCUGAGUUCUGAAGUCUUGCCUGUGGGUAGCAAAGAACAGAGCCAAGACCCUGCACUAUUUCUUAGGACUAAGGACACAAUUUUCAUCUGGAUAGAGGAAGGAAUAUUUGCUCUGAGAGCCCCGUUGUUGUGAUUUUUGUCUGUUCCUCGUAAGUGUGGUGGAAUAAUAUUAACAGGUUGCCUCCCCCACCCAAUAUUCUCUUCUCUCAAUCUGUUUGCCCAUCACUCAACCCCAAAAAGCACCUAAGCAUUCUGUGUUCAUUGCUUUAAGAGAAAGAUAUGACUGCAAAAAAAGAGAGAGGAAGAAAGGAGACACUCCUAGCUUUGGUGUUGCAAAAGGCUUGGCUUUUCAAGAACAAAAAAGACACCUAGCAUAGCAAGAGAUUUGCACAGAACAUCUUUUGUAAGAGCAUAGCUUUCCAGUGGCAGAAAAAAAUAAAACUCAAACACGUAAGAAUGGAAAAGCCACUCUCAGGCUCUGCCUGCUAAAUUUAAGACUACCUAAGGAUAAUUGUAGGUUUGUUAAUCUAGAACAUUGAACCUCUGGGAGACAGCAGAGGCCACCAGGGGACAGUAGAGUCUGCCACAAGCAGAAGUCAUCUCACAGAUGGAAAUGGCGCAGUGGACUUUGUGCCUGAACAUUCCCACUAUGACAAGAUUCUUCUAGGCGUUGGAAGUGAUAGGACAAAAUAUACUGAUUAUCAGUUUACACUAACGCCAGAUAAAUACUGAUCACUGGUGGCGACAGUUUGAAGGUCAAAAAGGAACCAUGGACUAGAAAUAUUUAAGGUCUCACUCUGCAGAAAGCAUCUGGCACGCAAGACGAAACUGAACGUCUACAACCCAGCAAAGGACUCUGCUCAUCACACAGAACAGCUAAGAGACUCCUACGAGGAUUACUUGAAGGGCCCAACUCAAGAGAUUCAACACACCCUGAGGCCAACUCCAGACCAAACCAGAGUACUACCGGGUUUGACCUACAAGUGACACACCCAGAGGGAAUUCUCUACAGGCACAAGAGCCCAUAGGGGCCAAGCCUCAUUUGAGCGGUCAGCCCUCA